CCAAUAGCGUAUAUUAAAGUUGUUGCAGUUAAAAAGCUCGUAGUUGAAUUUCGAGAUCGGGUUAUUGGUCGUGCUAUUGUACGUACUGGUAUUACCGGUUUCUCCUUUCUGACGAACCUUAAUGCCAUUAAUUUGGUGUUUUGGGAAAUCAGGACUGUUACUUUGAAAAAGUUAGAGUGGUUAAAGCAGGCUCACGCUUGAAUACAUUAGCAUGGAAUAACGGAAUAGGACGUUUGAUUCUAUUUUGUUGGUUUCUAGGAUCGACGUAAUGAUUAAUAGGGAUAGUUGGGGGCAUUAGUAUUCAAUUGUCAGAGGUGAAAUUCUUGGAUUUAUUGAAGACUAACUACUGCGAAAGCAUUUGCCAAGGAUGUUUUCAUUAAUCAAGAACGAAAGUUAGGGGAUCGAAGACGAUCAGAUACCGUCGUAGUCUUAACCAUAAACUAUGCCGACUAGGGAUCGGAUGAUGUUAAUUUUUUAAUGACUCAUUCGGCGCCUUACG
rnacentral:rRNA from 1 species